rnacentral:lncRNA from 1 species
UAAUUAUACUGAGUUUUAUAUAUGUAUGUGAGACACGAAAUUAAGGUUGUCAUUUGGGAGAUCCUGUGACACUGUUUGAACCGAAACAGAAGAAUUGUUAUAUACAUGGACAGAACAUACAGUUAGACGCAAUCACUGAACACCAGCUUUAUUCCCUUUCAAGACAGCAAAGAAAAAACUAAGACACGAAAACAAAAGGAACACAAGAUCAAACUAAACUCGACUUCCAUUCCCAACCCUCCGCACAACCUCACCGGCCGCCACCAUUUAAUUUGGCGGUGGUGGAGCCGCCGUCCCGGCACAGGGGUGCACCUUCCCGCUUGCCCAUGCGCAGCCGCCGACGGAGGCCUUGUCGUCUUCACCCGUGGGUCUCUUGUUACCCACUUCAUCAUCUCCUCCACCUGCGGCUUCCUUGGCCUUCUUCUCUUUCUCUUCGGCCUGCAGGCUCUUCAUCCUGCACCUCUCUUGCCUCACGUGGAUCUGCGCAUAGCUGAACCCCAUGGAGGUCAUCUUGGUCCGAAACCAAUGAGGUGAGACAGAGCAGGGUGCUGUUCUUUCUCAGGUUGUUUGUGGGUAGAGAGGCUGCUGUGCAGAUGCCGGAUAUACAUGUGUAUUUAUAGGUAGGAGCUGGACUUAUUGGGGGUGGGCAGUGGUCACCAUGCCGUGGGUUUCUGGUCUUGUUUUGGUGAUAUCUAUGGGCUUAUCUCCAGCGGUGGCGGCCGUUAGGUGUCACGGCGACGACAGUUUGGAGGCUGCAAUCGCUGUCUGAAAAAGUGUGCUGAGUUGUGGGGGAGUGGCUGGAUGAUGCAGCAUCCCAGUGGCAGUGGGGCGAAACCAUGUGGUUUGUUUGCGAUAAUGGUCUCAUGGACCGCGCAAUAGCAUAUGCCUAGAGCCUAACCUGGGUCGGGAAGAUUUCGAGCCAUCACUUUUCUCCGGCAAAAGCUUAUCACCUAAUCCUUUA